rnacentral:rRNA from 1 species
UACGUAAGGGGCAAGCGUUGUCCGGAAUCACUGGGCGUAAAGCGCACGUAGGCGGUUUAGUAAGUUGGGGGUGUAAGGCUCCAGGCUUAACCUGGAAAUUGCCUCCAAAACUACUUUACUUGAGUAUUAGAGGGGAAGCUGGAAUUCACGGUGUAGCGGUGAAAUGCGUAGAUAUCGUGGAGAACACCCGUGGCGAAGGCGGGCUUCUGGCUAAUGACUGACGCUGAGGUGCGAAAGCUAGGGGAGCGAACGGG